rnacentral:rRNA from 1 species
UGGGGAAUAUUGGGCAAUGGGCGCAAGCCUGACCCAGCGACGCCGCGUGGGUGAUGAAGGCCUUCGGGUUGUAAAGCCCUGUCAUGUGGAAAGAACAGACCCGUGGUGAAUAUCCACGGGAUUUGACGGUACCACAGGAGGAAGCACCGGCUAACUCCGUGCCAGCAGCCGCGGUAAUACGGAGGGUGCAAGCGUUGUUCGGGAUUAUUGGGCGUACAGGGCGCGUAGGUGGUUGUGCAAGUCAGAUGUGAAAUACUUCGGCUCAACUGAAGAACUGCAUCUGAAAAUUCAUAACUCGAGUACAGGAGAGGGAAACGGAAUUCCCGGUGUAGAGGUGAAAUUCGUAGAUAUCGGGAGGAACACCAGUGGCGAAGGCGGUUUCCUGGCCUGAUACUGACGCUGAGGCGCGAAAGCGUGGGGAGCAAACA